ACGCACCGCGACCCCA
rnacentral:rRNA from 5 species